AGGGGCGUGGUGAAGUGGUAUCAUACCGGUCUCCAAAACCGUUGUUGCGGGUUCGAUUCCCUCCGCCCCUGCCA
rnacentral:tRNA from 1 species